AGCUUGUUUAUUCUGCUGUGGAGCUGUGAUCUUUCUACUUUUUACUUGCUGCAUAUUAUGAUUUUUCUCCCUGUGUGCAGUUUGGCUGCUCCAAGUUGCUUUUUCACAAAGAAAGGCAGUGUAUACAAGGAUGGAAAUGUGGUCAUUGGAGGGUUUUUUCCCCUUUACACUUUUAUGAUGGACAGUGGCAUCAACAGGCCUAUGGACUCAAUUUACACUCAAACCUUGGAGACCAGAGGCAUUUUCUGUUCAACACAAGAAAGCUUCUACCUAUCCAGCGAAAGUGUCCACAAAAACCAACAGAUAGUGAAAAUUACCCGCUGCCCAAGGUAUCAGAGUGAAAUCAAACUUUCAGUCUUGUCUUGCUCCAAUCCCUCUGGUUUGAACUCUUUUAUGAAAGGUGGAGGAUUUGUCUUUGGAAUUUUUUUUUGGGGGGGGGGAGGGAGAUCACUUCUGAACUACCAUUUAAGAGUUCAUGGUCAGUGAGGGCCUAUCAUAAACCAUGCAUCUAUCAGAUGGUAGUAGCAUCCCUUCCAAAAUGUGUAGUUUGAUGGAGAUGAGUGAUCACAUCUUCCAUCAAGUGUGCAGGGAUGGUUCCUUCCUUAUAAAGCCAAACUCCCCAUUAAUCAAGUAGUGACCAUUCUGAGGCUAAGCAAGACCCUAAUAAAAGCCCCACUCUCCUGCUCUACGUCAUUGCAGAAUAUUUGAACUUGAAGUCAGUUACAGUCAAGAGUGUGGACCAAGAGGAAGAUUUUGAGUUUCCAAUUUGAGCUUCUCUUUUCUCUAUGAUUUUUUCUAUAUGAUCUGAUUUUGUUUCCCUUGGAAACAUAACUAUCAGUCCAUUGAUGUCCAGAGCAGUGCAUAAUUACCACAUCUUUGGGCAGCAAGAUCACCUUGAAAAAGACCAGUAUUUUUCCUGCAUAUUUUAUUUCUUUGUUUCCUACAGUAAGAAAGCCCUUUCUUUCCAAGUAGUUCCAUGAACAUAAACCACAGAAAAUGUGAUUAGAAUCAGUACAGAUACUGAUUCUUGCUCCUUGUUCUAAAUACAGCACUAAUAGCGGUGAUAAUUUCUGACUUCUGGGCAGAGGCUCCAAGCAGCAAGGCUUUGUUAGUCUCUAGGAUCUGUUGUUGAGUUGCCACCAACUACCUGGGCUUCCUUUGCCCUUGAUUCAUGAAACCAGCUCCCAUGUGUAAAUAUAUCUAAGUCUAGGUAUUCUAAGGCCAGGGUAAUCAAGUCAGGCUGACUAGAACAUACUUCUUCAAUUACAAAUAUAUUCAAUCGUAAGUGAACUCC